rnacentral:tmRNA from 1 species
CAGGUGCCGCUCUCGACCUGGAACCUAGCGUCGCUAGAGGGCUUUUCACUUCGUUGGUGUUGCAAACAACGAUGGAGAACAGUUUUGCAACUGAGUUCGUCGAAGAGUCGUGUGGAGAAACUUCGGGACUGAGAAAGCGUUAAUCACACUACGCCCGUAGAAGCCCUGUUUUUGCACCGAAGGACCCGGGUUCGAUUCCCGGCACCUCCACGA